rnacentral:rRNA from 1 species
GAACGAACGCUGGCGGCAUGCCUAACACAUGCAAGUCGAACGAGACCUUCGGGUCUAGUGGCGCACGGGUGCGUAACACGUGGGAAUUGCUCGGGGUAUGGAAUAACUCAGGGAAACUUGAGCUAAUACCAUAUAAUGUCUUCGGACCAAAGAUUUAUCGCCCUGAGAUAAGCCCGCGUAGGAUUAGCUAGUUGGUGAGGUAAAAAGCUCACCAAGGCGACGAUCUUUAGCUGGUCUGAGAGGAUGAUCAGCCACACUGGGACUGAGACACGGCCCAGACUCCUACGGGAGGCAGCAGUGGGGAAUAUUGGACAAUGGGCGAAAGCCUGACCCAGCAAUGCCGCGUGAGUGAUGAAGGCCUUAGGGUUGUAAAGCUCUUUUACCAGGGAUGAUAAUGACAGUACCUGGAGAAUAAGCUCCGGCUAACUCCGUG